rnacentral:rRNA from 1 species
GUGGGGAAUAUUGGACAAUGGGGGGAACCCUGAUCCAGCCAUGCCGCGUGUGUGAAGAAGGCCUUUUGGUUGUAAAGCACUUUAAGCGAGGAGGAGGCUACCGAGAUUAAUACUCUUGGAUAGUGGACGUUACUCGCAGAAUAAGCACCGGCUAACUCUGUGCCAGCAGCCGUGGUAAUACAGAGGGUGCAAGCGUUAAUCGGAUUUACUGGGCGUAAAGCGCGCGUAGGUGGCCAAUUAAGUCAAAUGUGAAAUCCCCGAGCUUAACUUGGGAAUUGCAUUCGAUACUGGUUGGCUAGAGUAUGGGAGAGGAUGGUAGAAUUCCAGGUGUAGCGGUGAAAUGCGUAGAGAUCUGGAGGAAUACCGAUGGCGAAGGCAGCCAUCUGGCCUAAUACUGACACUGAGGUGCGAAAGCAUGGGGAGCAAACAGGAUUAGAUACCCCGGUAGUCC